rnacentral:rRNA from 1 species
GAUGAACGCUGGCGGCGUGCCUAAUACAUGCCAGUCGAGCGAACAGAUAAGGAGCUUGCUCCUUUGACGUUAGCGGCGGACGGGUGAGUAACACGUGGGUAACCUACCUAUAAGACUGGGAUAACUUCGGGAAACCGGAGCUAAUACCGGAUAACAUUUGGAACCGCAUGGUUCUAAAGUGAAAGAUGGUUUUGCUAUCACUUAUAGAUGGACCCGCGCCGUAUUAGCUAGUUGGUAAGGUAACGGCUUACCAAGGCAACGAUACGUAGCCGACCUGAGAGGGUGAGCGGCCACACUGGAACUGAGACACGGUCCAGACUCCUACGGGAGGCAGCAGUAGGGAAUCUUCCGCAAUGGGCGAAAGCCUGACGGAGCAACGCCGCGUGAGUGAUGAAGGGUUUCGGCUCGUAAAACUCUGUUAUUAGGGAAGAACAAAUGUGUAAGUAACUGUGCACGUCUUGACGGUACCUAAUCAGAAAGCCACGGCUAACUACGUG